rnacentral:rRNA from 1 species
AGAGUUUGAUCCUGGCUCAGAACGAACGCUGGCGGCGUGGAUAAGACAUGCAAGUCGAACGGGCUUAAUUUGGUAGCAAUACUAGAUUAAGUCAGUGGCGAACGGGUGCGUAACACGUGACUUACCUGCCUCGAAGUGGGGGAUAGCUCGCCGAAAGGCGAAUUAAUACCGCAUAUGGUCGCAAGACCAAAGCAGCAAUGCGCUUUGAGAUGGGGUCGCGGCCUAUCAGCUUGUUGGUGAGGUAACGGCUCACCAAGGCUUCGACGGGUAGCUGGUCUGAGAGGACGACCAGCCACACUGGAACUGAGACACGGUCCAGACACCUACGGGUGGCAGCAGUCGAGAAUUUUUCUCAAUGGGGGAAACCCUGAAGGAGCGACGCCGCGUGGAGGAUGAAGGCUUUCGGGUUGUAAACUCCUGUCAUUCGGGAACAAAGUCCGCGUAAGCGGGCCUGAUAGUACCGGAAGAGGAAGAGACGGCUAACUCUGUGCCAGCAGCCGCGGUAAUACAGAGGUCUCAAGCGUUGUUCGGAUUCAUUGGGCGUAAAGGGCGCGUAGGCGGCGAGGUAAGUCUGAUGUGAAAUCUCGGGGCUCAACCCCGAAACUGCAUUGGAUACUGCCUUGCUUGAGGACUGGAGAGGAGAUUGGAAUUCACGGUGUAGCAGUGAAAUGCGUAGAGAUCGUGAGGAAGACCAGUGGCGAAGGCGGAUCUCUGGACAGUUCCUGACGCUGAGGCGCGAAGGCUAGGGGAGCAAACGGGAUUAGAUACCCCGGUAGUCCUAGCAGUAAACGGUGCACGUUUGGUGUGGGAGGAUUCGACCCCUUCCGUGCCGGAGCUAACGCGUUAAACGUGCCGCCUGAGGAGUACGGUCGCAAGAUUAAAACUCAAAGAAAUUGACGG